GACGAACGCUGGCGGCGUGCUUAACACAUGCAAUUCGAACGGAAAGGCCCUUCUUGCAGGGUGCUCGAGUGGCGAACGGGUGAGUAACACGUGGGUGAUCUGCCCCUUACUUUGGGAUAAGCCUGGGAAACUGGGUCUAAUACUGUAUAGGACCAUGCUGUCGGUGGUGUGGUGGAUAGAUUAGUUUCGGUAAGUGAUGAGCUCGCGGCCUAUCAGCUUGUUGGUGGGGUAAUGGCCUACCAAGGCGUCGACGGGUAGCCGGCCUGAGAGGGUGGACGGCCACAUUGGGACUGAGAUACGGCGCAGACUCCGACGGGAGGCAGCAGUGGGGAAUAUUGCACAAUGGGCGCAAGCCUGAUGCAGCGACGCCGCGUGGGGGAUGACGGCCUUCGGGUGGUAAACUCCUUUCAGCCAUGACGAAGCCCUUGUGGUGACGGUAGUGGUAGAAGAAGCACCGGCUAACUACGUG
rnacentral:rRNA from 1 species